rnacentral:rRNA from 1 species
UACGAAGGGGGCUAGCGUUGCUCGGAAUCACUGGGCGUAAAGGGUGCGUAGGCGGGUCUUUUAAGUCAGGGGUGAAAUCCUGGAGCUCAACUCCAGAACUGCCUUUGAUACUGAGGAUCUUGAGUUCGGGAGAGGUGAGUGGAACUGCGAGUGUAGAGGUGAAAUUCGUAGAUAUUCGCAAGAACACCAGUGGCGAAGGCGGCUCUCUAGUACGGUACUGACGCUGAGACGCGAAAGCGUGGGGAGCGAACAGG